CUCAGUACCAGUUCUGCUUCCCAGGAGCUGAGAUGCUGGCCCCGACCUUCCCCUGUGAAAAUGACUCUCUAAAAUCAACACUCUCUGCCUGGCACCUGCUUACAUCACCUUACUCGGUGACAUCCUCAUCUCAGGCUCUGAUCCCAGAUCAUGCACAGAUGAAUGUAUAAAAAUGGCUGCAAGUGUCAGAAGAAUGACAUCUGAAAUACAAGCAGAUGAUGGUGUGAUCGAGGUAUAAAUGAAGA
rnacentral:lncRNA from 1 species